rnacentral:rRNA from 1 species
UACGUAGGGUGCAAGCGUUGUCCGGAAUUAUUGGGCGUAAAGAGCUCGUAGGCGGUCUGUCGCGUCUGCUGUGAAAACUCAGGGCUUAACCCUGAGCUUGCAGUGGGUACGGGCAGACUAGAGUGUGGUAGGGGAGACUGGAAUUCCUGGUGUAGCGGUGAAAUGCGCAGAUAUCAGGAGGAACACCGAUGGCGAAGGCAGGUCUCUGGGCCACUACUGACGCUGAGAAGCGAAAGCGUGGGGAGCGAUCCGG